UACAGAGGUCCCAAGCGUUGUUCGGAUUCACUGGGCGUAAAGGGUGCGUAGGCGGUCGGGUAAGUCUGAUGUGAAAUCUCACAGCUUAACUGUGAAACUGCAUUGGAUACUAUCCGGCUCGAGGAAUGGAGGGGAGACUGGAAUACUUGGUGUAGCAGUGAAAUGCGUAGAUAUCAAGUGGAACACCAGUGGCGAAGGCGGCAUCCUGGACCGGCAUUGACGCUGAGGCGCGAAAGCCAGGGGAGCAAACGGG
rnacentral:rRNA from 1 species